GGGGGGCGCGGACACGCGUGGUGUGCGCGGUCCCCGUGCAGCCCGCCCUGCCGCAGGCUGCCCUCCACCCCCAGCCCCAGCUCCAGCCCCCAGCCCGUCCCCACUGCUCAUAUCCGAGCAGAUAGACCCCGGCCCCACCCUCCCGUGCUGAGCCUCCUUUCUGCCGGGAAGUUCGUCCGGGAGUCAAACAUCGCUGCCCUCCGGUUGCGCCACGGAGGGGGAGCCAGGAUAGGAAGCUGCCGUGAAAUCAGGAAGCUGAGCGCGCCGGGCCCCGGAUCCGAACAGAAAAGGCUUCCACCCGCUCCCCUGAGGGAUCCCACGCUGAGGGACUGAACCCCGCACCCCAGCCGCGCUCACCACCCCCACCCUCUCGCCUGGGCUGCUCUGACCUGGGGUUCACUUUCUGAAGAUGAUUCUGAAGAAGAGGAGGAAUUGGAAGAGGAAUCCGAGCCUUCUGAAUGAGUUGGUUUCUUCCUUUUUUUCUCAAAAACUUUUAAGAAACAUUAAUAAAAACAUUAGUACUAAAUUCAGUGCCUACCUUUCAGAGUAAAAAAUGUGAUUACUGAAUAUCAUAAAAUAUGCUUUACAUACAGCAAACAAAAAAUGAAAUGUAGACAGUUUUUUUCAAGUUUAUAAUAAAAUUACUGGCAAGAUUGUAAGGUA
ensembl:lncRNA ZBTB47-AS1 ZBTB47 and NKTR antisense RNA 1